rnacentral:rRNA from 1 species
UACGGAGGGUGCAAGCGUUAUCCGGAAUCACCGGGUUUAAAGGGUGCGUAGGCGGCUUAGUAAGUCAGUGGUGAAAGACUGUGGCUUAACCAUGGAAUUGCCAUUGAUACUGCUGAGCUUGAAUCAGGUUGAGGUUGGCGGAAUGUGACAUGUAGCGGUGAAAUGCUUAGAUAUGUCAUGGAACACCGAUUGCGAAGGCAGCUGACUGGACCUGUAUUGACGCUGAGGCACGAAAGCGUGGGGAGCGAAUAGG